GCCACUCCCAUUCUAGCCGCCAGACGAACCCUAGCCCCCUUGCCCAAUGCCCCCCGAUCCCCACAGCCGCCGCACGACCUCGCUCCUUCUUCCCUCCCGCCGCACCCUCUCCUUGCUCGCAGCUGCCUCCUUCCCACCUCCGCCCGAGCUCCGCCUUCCUCGCCUGCCUCCUCCUCCUUGCUAUCGGCGGAAGCCUCAAGCCCCGGCAUCACCGUCACCAGAUCCACCUCGCAACCUCUCUUCCUCCCCUGUCUGACUGCUGCAUGGUCGCGUCAGGCCCAUGCCGGGGUUGCCGCCACCGCUGCAGCCGAUGCCGCUGGAUGUAUCUAUCGGUCCCUCCCGCUCCAGAUCGAAAACUGAGAGAGCGACGGGAGGGAAGAAGGGGAUCGGGGGAGGGUAGAGCACGGGAGAGAAGGCGAGCUCGCGGCUGACCGCAGCGUGCGAGGCGGAUGGGUGAGAAAAAUUUGUGGUCGUGCCGCUGGUGACUGGAGAUUUGGAAUGCGGCCGUGGCCAUGGGCGGUCCUGGAGCGGGAUCGCGUGUGCGCUGCCUCCAACCUGCUUUGCUGCUCCUGCGAUCUCAAGGUAUGGUAUCGAUCUGCUUUGCGCGUUGCUUUAGCAAAACUGAUUAGUUAUCUAUACAUAGACGUGUGCAGAUCUGAGGACGAAGGGAAGAAUAAGAAGAAUUUAGCUAGAGAUUUGAAGAAGAUCAAGAUAUAUUUCCUUUAUCACUCCCCCAGCAGACGUGAGUUCUUGUGGCGGGGUUUUUCAUGCCGUCAUGUUAGGAAUUUAUUAUCGGAUUGUAGAUGAGGUCCUUCUUCAGUUCACCUACGCUGGGCACUGUUUCCACUUCUUGUUUCUUACUUCAAUUCAGCUACCCAUUUUUGAUUUAAGAAGGCCAAAAAAGGCAGAGACGAGUCAUGGAUCCUGCUGGCAAUGGCUACUGGUUGUAGAUGGAAUUUAAGAAGAGGAAUCGCAAAAGUUGUGCCCCAUGAGGCCAGCGACCAAAGGCCCGAUUCGUUUCCGUUGAAGGUUAUGUUCAGCUUGGCCCUUCAUCUGGGUGUAUGGUUAUCCUCAUCUCUAUACGCACAUGCAUGGACAAGCUUCAGUCUGAUGAGGAGAAAAACAAUCAUGUUGAGUUUUAAUCAGAACAGGUGGACAACCAUGUAAAAGGUAGAGAUGUUUAUACAAGAAUCAAUAUCACUCAGACUAGCAAGUUCCAGUUUGUCUAUUGUGGUGAGCAUUAGCAAAAUAUAAAUGUGAAUAUUACAGUACAUAGUUUAUGAUAUUUCAUUGAAUGUCAUCACCUAAAUUUAUACUAAUCAAGCGGAAUAACCCAACAACCAUUCUUUAAAGACCAUAUCAUAAACUUUAUGCAACAAUACCUAAAUGAAGCUCCAGUACCAAAAGUGGGUUCCACUAACAGCGUCGUGGAUUAUUUUGAGUUUUCGGCCAUUGAACGGGUGAAUGCCAUGCUUUCCAUGGAGAUGCUUAUACCUUUUAUCCUCGGGAUGAACGGCUAUGUCUGUAUCGCCAACCAUUGUUUCAGUUCUUGUUGUUGCGACAAUAAUCUUGUCAAACCCUUCCUCAAGAGGAUAGGCAAAGGAUUUCAACACAACAAACUGCACAUGACUGCUAUAACCAGGGACCUUCAGCAUAGUUUCCUCUUUAGGCUCUAGAUGAUCCACCCGAGAAAGCAACAUUUUAAUAAAGAAGUUGAUCUUAGUCGCGGGUGUGGAAUCAAACUGUACAACCUAGACAGUAUAAUAAGCUUUAUCAACCUGUAUGUCACAUAUUGCUGUUAUAAGUGUGCAGUCCCAG